rnacentral:piRNA from 1 species
UGCUAUCUUGGGUUAGAGUGUUUGCCUCC